GUGAACGCUGGCGGUAGGCCUAACACAUGCAAGUCGAACGGCAGCACAGUAAGAGCUUGCUCUUACGGGUGGCGAGUGGCGGACGGGUGAGGAAUACAUCGGAAUCUACUUUUUCGUGGGGGAUAACGUAGGGAAACUUACGCUAAUACCGCAUACGACCUACGGGUGAAAGCAGGGGAUCUUCGGACCUUGCGCGAUUGAAUGAGCCGAUGUCGGAUUAGCUAGUUGGCGGGGUAAAGGCCCACCAAGGCGACGACCCGUAGCUGGUCUGAGAGGAUGAUCAGCCACACUGGAACUGAGACACGGUCCAGACUCCUACGGGAGGCAGCAGUGGGGAAUAUUGGACAAUGGGCGCAAGCCUGAUCCAGCCAUACCGCGUGGGUGAAGAAGGCCUUCGGGUUGUAAGGCCCUUUUGUUGGGAAAGAAAAGCAGCAGGUUAAUACCCCGCUGUUCUGACGGUACCCAAAGAAUAAGCACCGGCUAACUUCGUG
rnacentral:rRNA from 1 species